rnacentral:rRNA from 1 species
UACAGAGGGUGCGAGCGUUGUCCGGAAUCACUGGGCGUAAAGGGUGCGUAGGCGGGUCUUUAAGUCAGGGGUGAAAUCCUGGAGCUCAACUCCAGAACUGCCUUUGAUACUGAGGAUCUUGAGUUCGGGAGAGGUGAGUGGAACUGCGAGUGUAGAGGUGAAAUUCGUAGAUAUUCGCAAGAACACCAGUGGCGAAGGCGGCUCACUGGCCCGAUACUGACGCUGAGGUGCGAAAGCGUGGGAGCAAACAGG